UGAGGAAUAUUGGUCAAUGGACGAGAGUCUGAACCAGCCAAGUAGCGUGCAGGAUGACGGCCCUAUGGGUUGUAAACUGCUUUUGUUUGGGAAUAAUCGACAUUACGUGUAAUGUUUUGCAUGUACCAUUCGAAUAAGGACCGGCUAAUUCCGUGCCAGCAGCCGCGGUAAUACGGUAGGUCCAGGCGUUAUCCGGAUUUAUUGGGUUUAAAGGGAGUGUAGGCGGUUGGUUAAGCGUGUUGUGAAAUGUAGAUGCUCAACAUCUGACUUGCAGCGCGAACUGGCUCACUUGAGUACACACAACAUAGGCGGAAUUCAUGGUGUAGCGAUGAAAUGCUUAGAUAUCAUGAAGACCACCGAUUGCGAAGGCAGCUUACGGGGGUGCUACUGACGCUUAAGCUCGAAGGUGCGGGUAUCGAACAGA
rnacentral:rRNA from 1 species